CCACAGUCUCCGGGGGCGCUGCGCGCGAAGUAGCACGUGCUUCUCGAAACACCGCAGCCCCCGGGUCCCGCCCCGCCCGGCGCGCGCACUCGAACCCGCCCAGAGAGCGGUGCGUGGCGCUGGGUGCGAGCAGGGUCUAGCCACCCCCACCCUCACCCCACCCCACCCCACCCUGCUUUUUUCAGGUUCAUCAAGGUUUGCGCAGUGGAUCCGCGGGUGCAUAAAACACCCUAUUUGAUGAGAACUGGUUUUAAAGGAAAAUGGGGCCAUCAGAAGGAAGCCGGUUGGUGUGAAGAGACGUCUGGGAAGAGCCCCUGGCGAGGGCCCUCAUUCCACUGGGUGACCCAGAAGGAGAAAACCGCGAUGGCGCUUCUCAUUUGAAAUGUUUUCUUUAUGGACAGUGUUUAGCAAUUGUUAUAAUGUGUACUUUUGUUGAUUGAUCUGUAUACAUAUGUAAAAUAAUUUGUUCUCUGAGUUAAUUUUGUUGGAACAAAGACUUUAGUGCUUCCUACAUUAAAACAUUUUACUGUA
rnacentral:lncRNA from 1 species